GAGGCAGCAGUGGGGAAUAUUGCACAAUGGGCGCAAGCCUGAUGCAGCCAUGCCGCGUGUAUGAAGAAGGCCUUCGGGUUGUAAAGUACUUUCAGCGAGGAGGAAGGUGCUGAGGUUAAUAACCUCAGCAAUUGACGUUACUCGCAGAAGAAGCACCGGCUAACUCCGUGCCAGCAGCCGCGGUAAUACGGAGGGUGCAAGCGUUAAUCGGAAUUACUGGGCGUAAAGCGCACGCAGGCGGUCUGUCAAGUCGGAUGUGAAAUCCCCGGGCUCAACCUGGGAACUGCAUCCGAAACUGGCAGGCUAGAGUCUUGUAGAGGGGGGUAGAAUUCCAGGUGUAGCGGUGAAAUGCGUAGAGAUCUGGAGGAAUACCGGUGGCGAAGGCGGCCCCCUGGACAAAGACUGACGCUCAGGUGCGAAAGCGUGGGGAGCAAACAGGNNUAGAUACCCUGGUAGUCCACGCCGUAAACGAUGUCGACUUGGAGGUUGUGCCCUUNNGGCGUGGCUUCCGGAGCUAACGCGUUAAGUCGACCGCCUGGGGAGUACGGCCGCAAGGUUAAAACUCAAAUGAAUUGACGGGGGCCCGCACAAGCGGUGGAGCAUGUGGUUUAAUUCGAUGCAACGCGAAGAACCUUACCUA
rnacentral:rRNA from 1 species